UACGUAGGGCGCAAGCGUUUAUCCGGAAUUACUGGGCGUAAAGGGCGCGUAGGCGGCACGGCAAGUCGGGGAGUGAAAGCCCGGGGCUCAACCCCGGAGGGUCUCUCGAAACUGCCGAGCUAGAGUGCGGAAGAGGCAAUCGGAAUUCCCAGUGUAGCGGUGAAAUGCGUAGAUAUUGGGGAAGAACACCGGAGGCGAAGGCGGGAUUGCUGGGCCGACACUGACGCUGAGGCGCGAAAGCCAGGGGGAGCAAACGGG
rnacentral:rRNA from 1 species